UACGUAGGUGGCAAGCGUUGUCCGGAAUUAUUGGGCGUAAAGCGCGCGCAGGUGGUUUCUUAAGUCUGAUGUGAAAGCCCACGGCUCAACCGUGGAGGGUCAUUGGAAACUGGGGAACUUGAGUGCAGAAGAGGAAAGUGGAAUUCCAAGUGUAGCGGUGAAAUGCGUAGAGAUUUGGAGGAACACCAGUGGCGAAGGCGACUUUCUGGUGCUGUAACUGACACUGAGGCGCGAAAGCGUGGGGAGCGAACAGG
rnacentral:rRNA from 1 species